rnacentral:lncRNA from 1 species
UCAGCCCAUCCUCCAUCAGUGUGUCCUCCAUCAGUCCAUCCUUCAUCAAUCCAUUCUCCAUCAGUCCAUCCUCCAUCUGUCCUCCAUCAUUCCUCCAUCAGUCUGUCCUCCAUUAGACCUCCAUCAGUCCGUCCUCCAUCAGUCUGUCCUCCAUCAGUCUGUCCUCCAUCAGUCUGUCCUCCAUCAGUCUAUCCUCUAUCAGUCUGUCCUCCAUCAGUGUGUCCUCCAUCAGUCCAUCCUUCAUCAAUCCAUUCUCCAUCAGUCCAUCCUCCAUCUGUCCUCCAUCAUUCCUCCAUCAGUCUGUCCUCCAUUAGACCUCCAUCAGUCCGUCCUCCAUCAGUCUGUCCUCCAUCAGUCUGUCCUCCAUCAGUCUAUCCUCUAUCAGUCUGUCCUCCAUCAGUGUGUCCUCCAUCAGUCCAUCCUUCAUCAAUCCAUUCUCCAUCAGUCCAUCCUCCAUCUGUCCUCCAUCAUUCCUCCAUCAGUCUGUCCUCCAUUAGACCUCCAUCAGUCCGUCCUCCAUCAGUCUGUCCUCCAUCAGUCUGUCCUCCAUCAGUCUAUCCUCUAUCAGUCUGUCCUCCAUCAGUGUGUCCUCCAUCAGUCCAUCCUUCAUCAAUCCAUUCUCCAUCAGUCCAUCCUCCAUCUGUCCUCCAUCAUUCCUCCAUCAGUCUGUCCUCCAUUAGACCUCCAUCAGUCCGUCCUCCAUCAGUCUGUCCUCCAUUAGACCUCCAUCAGUCCGUCCUCCAUCAGUCUGUCCUCCAUCAGACCUCCAUCAGUCUGUUCACCAUUAGUCCGCCCUCCAUCAGUCUGUCCUCCAUCAGUCCUCCAUCUGUCCUCCAUCAGUCUAUCCUCUAUCAGUCUGUCCUCCAUCAGUCUGUCCUCCAUCAGUCUAUCUUCUAUCAGUCUGUCCUCCAUCAGUCUGUCCUCCAUCAGUCUGUCCUCCAUCUGUCCUCCAUCAGUCUAUCCUCUAUCAGUCUGUCCUCCAUCAGUCUGUCCUCCAUCAGUCCUUCAUCUGUCCUUCAUCAUUCCAUCCUCCAUCAGUCUGUCCUCCAUCAGUCCGUCCUGCAUCAGUCCUCCAUCAGUCCUCCAUCAGUCCAUCCUCCAUCAGUCCGUCCUGCAUCAGUCCUCCAUCAGUCUGUCCUCCAUCUCAGAGGGAUAUCGAUGUAG